rnacentral:rRNA from 1 species
AGCCGGCGAUGUCCGAAUGGGGAAACCCAGUGUGAUUCGUCACACUAUCGUUAACUGAAUACAUAGGUUAACGAGGCGAACCGGGGGAACUGAAACAUCUAAGUACCCCGAGGAAAAGAAAUCAACCGAGAUUCCCCCAGUAGCGGCGAGCGAACGGGGAGCAGCCCAGAGUCUGAAUCAGCUUGUGUGUUAGUGGAACGGUCUGGAAAGUCCGACGGUACAGGGUGAUAGUCCCGUACACCAAAAUGCACAGGCUGUGAACUCGAAGAGUAGGGCGGGACACGUGGUAUCCUGUCUGAAUAUGGGGGGACCAUCCUCCAAGGCUAAAUACUCCUGACUGACCGAUAGUGAACCAGUACCGUGAGGGAAAGGCGAAAAGAACCCCGGCGAGGGGAGUGAAAAAGAACCUGAAACCGUGUACGUACAAGCAGUGGGAGCACCUU